AGAUUGAACGCUAGCGGGAUGCUUUACACAUGCAAGUCGAACGGCAGCGCGGACUUCGGUCUGGCGGCGAGUGGCGAACGGGUGAGUAAUAUAUCGGAACGUGCCCAGUAGCGGGGGAUAACUACGCGAAAGCGUGGCUAAUACCGCAUACGCCCUACGGGGGAAAGGGGGGGAUCGCAAGACCUCUCACUAUUGGAGCGGCCGAUAUCAGAUUAGCUAGUUGGUGAGGUAAGGCUCACCGAAGGCGACGAUCUGUAGCUUGGUUGAGAGGACGACCAGCCAACACUGGGACUGAGACGACGGCCCAGACUCCGUACGGGACGCAGCGAAGGUGGGGAAUUUGGGAACUAAGGUACGGGGGAAACCCUGAAC
rnacentral:rRNA from 1 species